UGUACCUGUCGUUUGUUUGAUAUUUGCAAAAAAAAAGAAACAUAAUAUACGAUUCCAUGUUAUACUACAAUUUAUACCUUUUCCUUUUGUUGGAGAAAAAAAUAAAAAAAUAUCACAAGUAACCGAAUAAAACAUAAGUAGACUUUUAACCAAUAAAUACAAUUUUGUAACCAGAAUUAUAAAAAUAGUAAUCAUAACUUUAUACAUUGGAAUUAAACAUGAACUGGUUUUAUAUAUCGAUAGCCAGUUAAGGAAUAUAUUCGAACCGUCCACAACAUUACCUGCAAAAGACGUAACAUUUACCACCAGUACCUGGUGCUUUUUAAAAGAUAACCCUCAAAAACAAAAAUCCUCUAUAUACACAUCACUAAAUAUAUAGUAAUAAACAUAUUUUUUUGUAGAAAAUAUGCUACAAAAGGAUCUUAAUUUUUUUAAAAACUUAUAGACAAAACUAUUAAAUUAAAAAAGAAAAUACUUUAAAAGAUUCACAAGAAAACAAAUUGUUACAUUCUUAAAAGAGUUAUACCACUUUAUAGUGGUAUUAAAACCAAAAACUAUAAAAGCAUUUUUUGUGCAUAUGCUUUAAUAUUUACGGGAAAUUUUAAAUAGUUUUAUUUAAAAUUAUAUUUCCCUCAUACAUAUAUAAUUGAAGAGAUUAAUUAGAAAAGAUUGCUUGACAUAAGUGAAAAGAACGUUGAACGUUAAAUAUUGCCAAAAUGGGUCGGAAGAAAAUUCAAAUAUCACGCAUCACAGAUGAACGUAAUCGUCAGGUAAGUUAAUC